rnacentral:piRNA from 1 species
UGUGAUUCCCACAAUGAAAGGACAUUGCUGA